rnacentral:rRNA from 1 species
UACGAAGGGUGCAAGCGUUAAUCGGAAUUACUGGGCGUAAAGGGUGCGUAGGCGGUUCGUUAAGUCUGUCGUGAAAUCCCCGGGCUCAACCUGGGAAUGGCGAUGGAUACUGGCGAGCUAGAGUGUGUCAGAGGAUGGUGGAAUUCCCGGUGUAGCGGUGAAAUGCGUAGAGAUCGGGAGGAACAUCAGUGGCGAAGGCGGCAUCCUGGACCGGCAUUGACGCUGAGGCGCGAAAGCCAGGGGAGCAAACGGG